ensembl:lncRNA
CUGUUCCUGGGCUCCUGCACUCUGAUAUCCAUCUCACCCGCUUGUAAGCAUCCAUCACAGCUGGCGUGGAAACUUGUAGGUUCCCUCCAGAUUUCACAAUGCUUUCUUUCCACUCUCCUUGUGUUUCAGGUCUUGGAUCUGUUCCUGGGCUCCUGCACUCUGAUAUCCACCUCACCCGCUUGUCUUGGAUCUCUUCCUGGGCUCCUGCACUCUGAUAUCCAUCUCACCCGCUUGUAAGCAUCCAUCACAGCAGGCGUGGAAACCUGGAGGUUCCCUCCAGAUUUCACAAUGCUUUCUUUCCACUCUCCUUGUGUUUCAGGUCUUGGAUUUCUUCCUGGGCUCCUGCACUCUGAUAUCCAUCUCACCCGCUUCUAAGUAUCCAUCACAGCUGGCGUGGAAACCUGGAGGUUCCCUCCAGAUUUCACAACGCUUUCUUUCCAAUCUCCUUAUGUUUCAGGUCUUGGAUCUGUUCCUGGGCUCCUGCACUCUGAUAUCGUUGGGUUACUUAACGUAAUCCCUGGU